UCGUGUNGUGAGAUGNUGGGUUAANUCCCGCAAACGAGCGCAACCCUCGUUUUUAUGUUUGCCAGCACGUAAUGGGGGAACUCAUGGGAUACUGCCGGGGUCAACUCGGAGGAAGGUGGGGAUGACGUCAAAUCAUCAUGCCCCUUAUGUCUUGGGCUUCACGCAUGCUACAAUGGCCGGUACAAAGGGCUGCAAUACCGUGAGGUGGAGCGAAUCCCAAAAAGCCGGUCCCAGUUCGGAUUGAGGUCUGCAACUCGACCUCAUGAAGUCGGAGUCGCUAGUAAUCGCAGAUCAGCAACGNUGCGGUGAAUACGUUCCCGGGUCUUGUACACACCGCCCGUCAAGUCAUGAAAGUCGGUAACCCCUGAAGCCGGCUGGCCACCGUUNAGUUUGNUNCCUGUNUCNUGNCAAUCAUUU
rnacentral:rRNA from 1 species